rnacentral:rRNA from 1 species
GACGUAGGAUGCAAGCGUUGUCCGGAUUCAUUGGGCGUAAAGGGUGCGUAGGCGGCGCGGUAAGUCGGGUGUGAAAUCUCGGGGCUUAACUCCGAAACUGCAUUCGAUACUGCCGUGCUUGAGGACUGGAGGGGAGACUGGAAUUUACGGUGUAGCGGUGAAAUGCGUAGAUAUCGUAAGGAAGACCAGUGGCGAAGGCGGGUCUCUGGACAGUUCCUGACGCUGAGGCACGAAGGCCAGGGGAGCAAACGGG